UACGGAGGGGGCUAGCGUUGUUCGGAAUUACUGGGCGUAAAGCGCACGUAGGCGGCUUUGUAAGUUAGAGGUGAAAGCCCGGGGCUCAACUCCGGAAUUGCCUUUAAGACUGCAUCGCUAGAAUUGUGGAGAGGUAAGUGGAAUUCCGAGUGUAGAGGUGAAAUUCGUAGAUAUUCGGAAGAACACCAGUGGCGAAGGCGACUUACUGGUCCGGUACUGACGCUGAGGUGCGAAAGCGUGGGGAGCAAACAGG
rnacentral:rRNA from 1 species